rnacentral:rRNA from 1 species
GAACCUGAAACCGUGUACGUACAAGCAGUGGGAGCCUCUUUUAUGGGGUGACUGCGUACCUUUUGUAUAAUGGGUCAGCGACUUAUAUUCUGUAGCAAGGUUAACCGAAUAGGGGAGCCGAAGGGAAACCGAGUCUUAACUGGGCGUUAAGUUGCAGGGUAUAGACCCGAAACCCGGUGAUCUAGCCAUGGGCAGGUUGAAGGUUGGGUAACACUAACUGGAGGACCGAACCGACUAAUGUUGAAAAAUUAGCGGAUGACUUGUGGCUGGGGGUGAAAGGCCAAUCAAACCGGGAGAUAGCUGGUUCUCCCCGAAAGCUAUUUAGGUAGCGCCUCGUGAAUUCAUCUCCGGGGGUAGAGCACUGUUUCGGCAAGGGGGUCAUCCCGACUUACCAACCCGAUGCAAACUGCGAAUACCGGAGAAUGUUAUCACGGGAGACACACGGCGGGUGCUAACGUCCGUCGUGAAGAGGGAAACAACCCAGACCGCCAGCUAAGGUCCCAAAGUCAUGGUUAAGUGGGAAACGAUGUGGGAAGGCCCAGACAGCCAGGAUGUUGGCUUAGAAGCAGCCAUCAUUUAAAGAAAGCGUAAUAGCUCACUGGUCGAGUCGGCCUGCGCGGAAGAUGUAACGGGGCUAAACCAUGCACCGAAGCUGCGGCAGCGACGCUUAUGCGUUGUUGGGUAGGGGAGCGUUCUGUAAGCCUGCGAAGGUGUACUGUGAGGUAUGCUGGAGGUAUCAGAAGUGCGAAUGCUGACAUAAGUAACGAUAAAGCGGGUGAAAAGCCCGCUCGCCGGAAGACCAAGGGUUCCUGUCCAACGUUAAUCGGGGCAGGGUGAGUCGACCCCUAAGGCGAGGCCGAAAGGCGUAGUCGAUGGGAAACAGGUUAAUAUUCCUGUACUUGGUGUUACUGCGAAGGGGGGACGGAGAAGGCUAUGUUGGCCGGGCGACGGUUGUCCCGGUUUAAGCGUGUAGGCUGGUUUUCCAGGCAAAUCCGGAAAAUCAAGGCUGAGGCGUGAUGACGAGGCACUACGGUGCUGAAGCAACAAAUGCCCUGCUUCCAGGAAAAGCCUCUAAGCAUCAGGUAACAUCAAAUCGUACCCCAAACCGACACAGGUGGUCAGGUAGAGAAUACCAAGGCGCUUGAGAGAACUCGGGUGAAGGAACUAGGCAAAAUGGUGCCGUAACUUCGGGAGAAGGCACGCUGAUAUGUAGGUGAAGUCCCUCGCGGAUGGAGCUGAAAUCAGUCGAAGAUACCAGCUGGCUGCAACUGUUUAUUAAAAACACAGCACUGUGCAAACACGAAAGUGGACGUAUACGGUGUGACGCCUGCCCGGUGCCGGAAGGUUAAUUGAUGGGGUUAGCGCAAGCGAAGCUCUUGAUCGAAGCCCCGGUAAACGGCGGCCGUAACUAUAACGGUCCUAAGGUAGCGAAAUUCCUUGUCGGGUAAGUUCCGACCUGCACGAAUGGCGUAAUGAUGGCCAGGCUGUCUCCACCCGAGACUCAGUGAAAUUGAACUCGCUGUGAAGAUGCAGUGUACCCGCGGCAAGACGGAAAGACCCCGUGAACCUUUACUAUAGCUUGACACUGAACAUUGAGCCUUGAUGUGUAGGAUAGGUGGGAGGCUUAGAAGUGUGGACGCCAGUCUGCAUGGAGCCGACCUUGAAAUACCACCCUUUAAUGUUUGAUGUUCUAACGUUGACCCGUAAUCCGGGUUGCGGACAGUGUCUGGUGGGUAGUUUGACUGGGGCGGUCUCCUCCUAAAGAGUAACGGAGGAGCACGAAGGUUGGCUAAUCCUGGUCGGACAUCAGGAGGUUAGUGCAAUGGCAUAAGCCAGCUUGACUGCGAGCGUGACGGCGCGAGCAGGUGCGAAAGCAGGUCAUAGUGAUCCGGUGGUUCUGAAUGGAAGGGCCAUCGCUCAACGGAUAAAAGGUACUCCGGGGAUAACAGGCUGAUACCGCCCAAGAGUUCAUAUCGACGGCGGUGUUUGGCACCUCGAUGUCGGCUCAUCACAUCCUGGGGCUGAAGUAGGUCCCAAGGGUAUGGCUGUUCGCCAUUUAAAGUGGUACGCGAGCUGGGUUUAGAACGUCGUGAGACAGUUCGGUCCCUAUCUGCCGUGGGC